UUUUUUUAUACUGAGCGUAUUGGAACGUUAUCGAUAAGAAGAGAGCGUCUAGGCGAACAAUGUUCUUAAAGUUUGACCUCAAAUCAGGUAGGAGUACCCGCUGAACUUAAGCAUAUCAAUAAGCGGAGGAAAAGAAACCAACCGGGAUUGCCUUAGUAACGGCGAGUGAAGCGGCAAAAGCUCAAAUUUGAAAUCUGGUACCUUCGGUGCCCGAGUUGUAAUUUGGAGAGGGCAACUUUGGGGCCGUUCCUUGUCUAUGUUCCUUGGAACAGGACGUCAUAGAGGGUGAGAAUCCCGUGUGGCGAGGAGUGCGGUUCUUUGUAAAGUGCCUUCGAAGAGUCGAGUUGUUUGGGAAUGCAGCUCUAAGUGGGUGGUAAAUUCCAUCUAAAGCUAAAUAUUGGCGAGAGACCGAUAGCGAACAAGUACAGUGAUGGAAAGAUGAAAAGAACUUUGAAAAGAGAGUGAAAAAGUACGUGAAAUUGUUGAAAGGGAAGGGCAUUUGAUCAGACAUGGUGUUUUGUGCCCUCUGCUCCUUGUGGGUAGGGGAAUCUCGCAUUUCACUGGGCCAGCAUCAGUUUUGGUGGCAGGAUAAAUCCAUAGGAAUGUAGCUUGCCUCGGUAAGUAUUAUAGCCUGUGGGAAUACUGCCAGCUGGGACUGAGGACUGCGACGUAA
rnacentral:rRNA from 1 species